AGUGGCGCACGGGUGAGUAACGCGUGGGAAUGUACCUCUGGGUGCGGAACAACGUCGGGAAACUGACGCUAAUACCGCAUAAUAUCUUCGGAUCAAAGAUUUAUCGCCCAGAGAUCAGCCCGCGUUAGAUUAGCUAGUUGGGGGGGUAAAAGCUUACCAAGGCGACGAUCUAUAGCUGGUCUGAGAGGAUGAUCAGCCACACUGGGACUGAGACACGGCCCAGACUCCUACGGGAGGCAGCAGUUAGGAAUAUUGGACAAUGGGGGAAACCCUGAUCCAGCCAUGCCGCGUGUGUGACGAAGGCCUUAGGGUUGUAAAGCACUUUCGUCCGCGAAGAUAAUGACAGUAACGGAAGAAGAAGCUCCGGCUAAAUUCGUGCCAGCAGCCGCGGUAAUACGAAUGGAGCGAGCGUUGUUCGGAAUCACUGGGCGUAAAGCGUGCGCAGGCGGUUGUGAAAGUCAGGAGUGAAAUCCCUGGGCUCAACCCAGGAAUUGCUUUUGAAACUUCACGACUAGAGUACUGGAGGGGUUGGCGGAAUUUCGAGUGUAGCAGUGAAAUGCGUAGAUAUUCGAAGGAACACCGAUGGCGUAGGCAGCCAACUGGACAGUUACUGACGCUCAUGCACGAAAGCGUGGGGAUCAAACAGGAUUAGAUACCCUGGUAGUCCACGCCGU
rnacentral:rRNA from 1 species